rnacentral:rRNA from 1 species
UUCGGUGGUUAUUGCGUCAGGGAAACGCCCGGUUACAUUCCGAACCCGGAAGCUAAGCCUUUCAGCGCCGAUGGUACUGCA